AAGAAUGAAAGCGUCCUUCUUUUCUCACAGCUUUGACUUAGAUGAAAUCAGCAAUUUGCAAACGGGGGAGAAUACAAAAAAAUGUGGAACUCUCAGGCAAAUUGUAGAAACUUGUGUCAGGUGGUUGCAGAGUAUAUGUUUUUUAUUUCUGUCUUUAACACCUCUGUCCACAAAAAAAACACAAAAGAUAAUUAACAACUUCAUUAUGUCCCUUAUGUUCACAGCUUGAGCAGCAGAAGAUAACGAGCAGGAAUUAGCGAGACAUCCACGCUCACCGUUAAGCUAUGAAGGCCCACAGACACGUGGAAGAUGAGGCUGUGGAGGUCUUGCAUGCAUUUUCUACACUGAAGAUGAGUCGAGGUUGCCAAUAACUGACAGCAGAUGCACUGAGCUCCGGUCCUCGACCCCCGUCCUCCUCCUGCUGCAGGAGGCUCCACCGUGCAGCUCCGCACAGAUUUGUGCUGCGAGACGGGGAGGCGGAUGAACACGACAAUCAGCACAAACGGCAACACAACAGCUACUGCAAAUGUCCCACUUCCACUUAAAUGUGGGCUUUCGGGGGCUGUAAUGUGCUCAUACUCUUUGGAAAACAGUUAAUAAAACCCCAAUGUGGAGAAAAACA